rnacentral:rRNA from 1 species
AGUGAACGCUGGCGGUAGGCCUAACACAUGCAAGUCGAACGGCAGCACAGUAAGAGCUUGCUCUUACGGGUGGCGAGUGGCGGACGGGUGAGGAAUACAUCGGAAUCUACUUUUUCGUGGGGGAUAACGUAGGGAAACUUACGCUAAUACCGCAUAUGACCUACGGGUGAAAGCAGGGGAUCUUCGGACCUUUCGCGAUUGAAUGAGCCGAUGUCGGAUUAGCUAGUUGGCGGGGUAAAGGCCCACCAAGGCGACGAUCCGUAGCGGGUCUGAGAGGAUGAUCAGCCACACUGGAACUGAGACACGGUCCAGACUCCUACGGGAGGCAGCAGUGGGGAAUAUUGGACAAUGGGCGCAAGCCUGAUCCAGCCAUACCGCGUGGGUGAAGAAGGCCUUCGGGUUGUAAAGCCCUUUUGUUGGGAAAGAAAAGCAGCAGGUUAAUACCCCGCUGUUCUGACGGUACCCAAAGAAUAAGCACCGGCUAACUUCGUG